UAUGUGGCAGUGACUGGGGCCGAGGUAGUAAGAAUGACUAGCAGUGGUGAUGGGGGACCUCUUGGUCCUGUGGUAGGAGUGAAUCUUCGGCAAUAAUCAGCAUGGUGAUGAGGUGAGUUUGCAGACAAUGGAGUCAGUCUGCUGCCUUGCUGGGGUCCCUACCGGGUGACUGGGUCAGCGCGGACAAUAAUUGGGGUCAGUCUACCAUGGCAACAGAAAUCACACUGACAUUAUGGGGGUCAGCGUUGGGUGGUGAUGGGGUCAGAACAGGGAAGUGAUGAUGUUAAAAAAAAAUCUAGGAGACACCCAUAGGGGAUAGGAUGUCACCAGCCUGAGCCCCACCUCCCUCCCACAGGCAGCCUCUUUGCGCAUGUCCACAUCUGACCACAUUUUCCCAGCAUGCCGUUUAGAACCCUCUCCGGCCCAGAAACUCACGGCGGGCGCGCCCGCCUCCGCUACUGCGCAUGCUCACCUCCGGCAAGCCCACGCAGCCGCAUAAGGCAAAUUCUCCGCCCAGCCUCACUUAUCGCCAUUGCGCAUGCACCACAGCUCCAGGCAAGAUGGCCGCCUGCUAUCAGAGAGAGCUGCCGAGCCCAGAGCGAAUCGAUAGGCAUCCUUCCCAGGGCGUGGGAGUCUCGCAGGCGCAUUGAGGGACAUUCGCUUCAGGCACAAGGACAGAGGCUCCACCCCUCGACUUCUACCCAUUCGUUAAUGGCACUUUUUGUUUAUACAAGGAUAAUGUCCAAGGGACAUAGUGUCGGGAGCCCUGCCCCUUCAUCCUACCACUCUGCUUCCAAAGAAACAUGAUGGAAUGAAAUCACAGGAGAGUCCGGAAAUCAAGUCAGGGAUCCCUGGGAAAUUCAGUUUCACCAUUGGAAUGAAUUAUUUUGUUGUCAUUUUUCAAUAUUCACAUAUUAAAAUU